GGCAGGGCUCAGGGCCCAUUGUCCUGGACGAAGUGGGCUGCUCGGGGCAUGAGACUUACCUGUGGAGCUGCUCCCACAACCCCUGGAACACACACAACUGUGGACACCAUGAGGACGCCAGCGUCAUCUGCUCAGCUGCACAGAUCACCUCCCCUUCUCCAGGUGAGUCCCUGCAGUCCCACCCAGCCACACCCCCCUCUGGGAUUCCGCCCUUCAGUUUUCCAGAAGGAGAAGAACAGCAGCUACCUGGCUAGUCAUUUCCCUCUGAGGACUCUGGAGGCUGUCUGUCAGGGAAUGUUUAACAGUAAGACUCCUGUGCGCUGUUUCCUAUCUCUCUUGAGCCCUCUGUUCCUCAUCAGUUCCUGUCAGGAGGGAGAGGAGCAGAUAAGCCACUCCCAGGACUGAGAUCUCUGUGAUGGGAUGCUUGUAUAGGAUUUCCUUCAUUAGCUUUUCCAUAUGCUGAAAGGGAUUAUCUGUGACCCUCUUUUGAUAUGGGUUGCCUUUUGGCAUUGUGGCCUCUAUUGCUCCUUGUUUCCUUGGUAACUUAAUUUCUGGUCUUUUGAUCUUUAUCUGAAGAAGCUACCUUGUAAAACGGUAUGUAUACUCACACAAAAUUCAAUAAAGCACCCUUGUUCCACCAGA